rnacentral:rRNA from 1 species
UACGUAGGGGGCAAGCGUUGUCCGGAAUCAUUGGGCGUAAAGCGCGUGUAGGCGGUUCAGUAAGUCUGCUGUGAAAGUCCAGGGCUCAACCCUGGGAUGCCGGUGGAUACUGCUGGGCUAGAGUACGGAAGAGGCGAGUGGAAUUCCCGGUGUAGCGGUGAAAUGCGCAGAUAUCGGAAGGAACACCUGUGGCGAAAGCGGCUCACUGGACCAUAACUGACGCUGAGGCGCGAAAGCUAGGGGAGCAAACAGG